AUUGAACGCUGGCGGCAGGCCUAACACAUGCAAGUCGAACGAGUGGCGGACGGGUGAGUAAUGUCUGGGAAACUGCCUGAUGGAGGGGGAUAACGACUGGAAACGGUAGCUAAUACCGCAUACCAUCGGAUGUGCCCUGAGGGGAUUAGCUAGUAGGUGGGGUAACGGCUCACCUAGGCGACGAGCCCUAGCUGGCCCGCGAGGAUGACCAGCCACACUGGAACUGAGACACGGUCCAGACUCCUACGGGAGGCAGCAGUGGGGAAUAUUGGACAAUGGGCGCAAGCCUGAUGCAGCCAUGCCGCGUGUAUGAAGAAGGCCUUCGGGUUGUAAAGUACUUUCAGCGAGGAGGCGUUACUCACAGAAGAAGCACCGGCUAACUCCGUGCCAGCCGCCGCGGUAAUUC
rnacentral:rRNA from 1 species